UACGUAGGUGGCAAGCGUUGUCCGGAAUUACUGGGUGUAAAGCGCGUGUAGGCGGCAGGCCAAGUCUGCGGUGAAAGCGCCCGGCUCAACUGGGAGGCUGCCGUGGAAACUGCCGUGCUUGAGUGUGGGAGAGGUGAGUGGAAUUCCCGGUGUAGCGGUGAAAUGCGUAGGUAUCGGGAGGAACACCUGUGGCGAAAGCGGCUCACUGGACCACAACUGACGCUGAGACGCGAAAGCGUGGGGAGCAAACAGG
rnacentral:rRNA from 1 species